GAGACAGCAGCAGCCACGGGAAUACGGAGGGUGCAAGCGUUAAUCGGAAUUACUGGGCGUAAAGCGCACGCAGGCGGUCUGACAAGUCAGAUGUGAAAUCCCCGGGCUUAACCUGGGAACUGCAUUUGAAACUGUCAGGCUGGAGUCUUGUAGAGGGGGGUGGAAUUCCAGGUGUAGCGGUGAAAUGCGUAGAGAUCUGGAGGAAUACCGGUGGCGAAGGCGGCCCCCUGGACAAAGACUGACGCUCAGGUGCGAAAGCGUGGGGAGCAAACAGGAUUAGAUACCCCGGUAGUCCCUGUCUCUUAUAC
rnacentral:rRNA from 1 species